GAUGAACGCUAGCGGGAGGCUUAAUACAUGCAAGUCGAACGGUAAGGUCUAGCUUGCUAGAUACACGAGUGGCGCACGGGUGAGUAACGCGUACACAAUCUGCCCUUAAGUGGGGGAUAGCCCUUGGAAACGAGGAUUAAUACCCCAUAAUAUUGAUUUUUUUACGGAUAGAUCAAUUAAAGCUCAGGUGCUUAAGGAUGAGUGUGCGUCUGAUUAGCUAGUUGGUAAGGUAAUGGCUUACCAAGGCUACGAUCAGUAGGGGGCGUGAGAGCGUGAUCCCCCACACGGGUACUGAGACACGGACCCGACAACUACGGUUGGCAGCAGUAAGGAAUAUUGGACAAUGGGCGAAAGCCUGAUCCAGCCAUCCCGCGUGCAGGAUGACGGCCCUAUGGGUUGUAAACUGCUUUUAGAAGGGAAGAAUAGCAGUCAUUUAUGAUUGUAUGACGGUACCUUCAGAAUAAGCACCGGCUAACUCCG
rnacentral:rRNA from 1 species